CAAAUUAACCAAAGCCAGCAGCUUCUCAUAUCUCGUCCUUCCUCUCUAUCUCAAUCAUCUCUCUCGCUCCCUCUUAUCUCCGACGAACGACGCACGGCGGUGGUGGCAAGGCAGUCCAGGCGGCGGCGACGAGCGACUGCAUCUCCCUCCUCUCCGGCGGACAGUGGCAGCGAGCAGCGGUGAGUGGUGGUUCACGGUGGUGGUACCCUAUAGCGGUAAUCUUUGGAGGUUGUUGGUUGCAACAGGGAUAAAGACACAAAAACUUACUUGGAGGGUAUCACCUGAAGGAUUGGUCAAGCAACGAGGUUCGUUAAUCAAUUCCCAGGCAAA